AGUUGCAUUGUGUGAUUUCCUUCGUAAUCUUAUUUACUUAUUAGUCAGUAAUCAAUGGAGUUGUUAUGUGUAUAUGAGUAAGAAUAUGUAAGUAAUCUUUAUCUUUAAAGCCAUUUUCUGAUUGCUGACAGAGUACAGUAUGAGACAAAAAGGAAAUUUAGACAGGAAGAGACUCAUGUAUAUCAGUGACAGACCCGGCACAUCCAGAGAGAGAGAUAGCUGCUUCCUGUUGAUGUGAGUGUUGUCAUACACGGCAGCUGGAUUUGUCAAGAUUAGAGAUUGACGUAAACAUUCAAGAAGAAGAGGAGGAGGAUUUAGCAGUGUUAUUGGAAGGGGGGAGAUAUCAACGAUCUUGUUAGUGUUUAUAUUCAUUCGAGUCAAACAGCUCUAGGAUCUGCUUAUUGUUGGCAUCAGUCAAAACCAGCUGGAAAAUCUUACAAUGGCCGAAGUGGAGGUUGCUAGUGGUUUGGAGGAGUUUAUAAGUUCAGGGAGAACAGGAAGACGAAAUGCAAUGGCAGACAUCUUGGAUUCCAAGCGUGCCUCCACCAGUACAGCAGGUCUAGAUGUGGACUUAUCAGGGCUCAAGUGUUCAGAUGACGAUAAAAGCCAGAAAGGUCAAUCUGAGGCAAGUGGAUCCAGUAACGGAAGUGGCUCGUAAGUGACGAAACGUACAUCUCACUACCCGGACAAAUCAAAUGUCUUUCAAUGUGAAGCCGUUGUGCAUCAUGAAUUAACAAUUUUAUUUUUUCAAAUCCUGAUAUGAUUGUGGUCAUUGUUGUUUUUAAUAUUGCUCUGAUUUUAUUUUGAUGAGAAAUAAUUGUAUUGUUUUUACACUGUAUUUUACAUAUGUGUGAAAUAUCAUGUAUUGUGAAUGAAUUAUUUUUCUUAAUAUGUGAAUAUUUAUAUUUCUUUGUUUAGCACAUCCUUGUAUCAGUUUGAUAGUGUAGUCCUCCCCGAUUUUUAACAUUCAGACAUUUCUGGGGGCCAGCUACAACCAAAAUAUCAGAAUAUUAAAAAUUUCUAAGGGCUACGUUAUUGCAUCUACUCUGUAUAUACAUGUAUCAGGUUACAUAAAGUGAAAAGUGACCGCAUUUAGCUAGUGGCUUGCCAUGUCAUAAUUGUCAACCCCCACCCCACCCCCCUCCUCCCUCUAUUUGAGGGUGAAACCCCACAGAUUUAGACAAUUUCUGUUUAUGUACACAUAAUUACCCCACACAGAAAUUGUGAUUGUAUUGAUAUUUUUUCUUUUACAAAAUCCCUCCCACCCAUCCCCUCACUUUAAACAAAGUAAUCACCCACAUUCAGAUUGGUAAAGGUUGGCAGCUAUGCCUUAAUCAUUGAAAAAUGAAUAUUCUUAGGCACAACUACUGAUUAAAAUGGCUGAUUUGCAAAGGUGUGUUUAUGUGUGCGUACAUUGCAUGUAGAUUUCACGAUUACAUCAUGUACAUUGUGAACGAUAAAUACUUCCUUGAUUUCUGAUUCUUUUGUGUUCUAGAAAUCAUUUGAGUAGUUUUAAUUUCUGACCUUUUAAAGUAAUAUGGUAUAUUUAUUUUUUUAUCUGUUAAAACACAUAAACUUCAAUGUAUAGAUUUAACACAGGCUCUCAAUGUUCUAAUUAUUUAUGUAUGUUAUUUAAAAAAAAUUGUCUUCCUAUAAACAAACUUAAAUAGUUUGUUUAGAUGAAGACAUUUAUUAUAUCAUAUAUAUUUAAAAUGUCAAGAACCUGCGAGAUUUAAGUGUUUUUCAUGCAAUGGCCUGCAGCUCAGUUUUGGCCACUAUAAGAGAUGGAAAGUAGUUUUCGUAUCAUAGAAGCGAAGUUUAUAUCUCAAUUUUUUUUUUCCUAUUGUCAAGACAUUUUUCUUCAAUGUUGUUUGGGUAAUAAUGGCAAUAUUUGAUGUCAUUCAAACAGCUCGUACAUGUAUAUGAGGUUCAUAGAAAUUAAAGCCUAGUCAAUUACAUACAUUUAUUCCAAGAUUUAUUUGCAUUUAUUAAUUACAUUUUGUUGUUGAAGUACAUUAACAGGUAAUGGGAUUUUCUAAAUGUGAACUUUAUGCAGAAAAAAAAAUUUAAGGUUUAUUUUUCAUCUGUUACCCAUAAUUCAAAUCUAAAUUUUAUAGGAAUGGAAGUAUAAGAAAAUUGAUGAUGAUGAUGAUGAAUUAUCAGUGGGUUAUUGCUAAAAGAUUUCAGAUCUGAAAUUUUAUACAUUUAUUUUAAGAAAAACCUGCAUACCUGUAUCAAACAUACAAGAAAAUAAUGACUUAGUACAGUGAAUUUUAAAAAUAUUAACAUGAUUUUUUUUUUGUGUUUGUUUACAUGUGAAUGAAAACUUUUUUAGUGUAGUGUUUGGAUAUAUUUGAUAUUAUUGAUGUGGAUUUCAAUGUGGACUACACUUGUUAAGUAUCUGUAUGUUGCCAUGAUUUUCAUUGUACUUUGAAUCAGUUCACGUUAAAGUCAAUUUGAACGACGAAAGUGAUAAGAUCAUGUCCUUGUUUUAAAACAAAUAAAUUUUUUUAGAACAA